rnacentral:lncRNA from 1 species
AAUGGGAGCAACAUUAGAUCAAGAUGUAAAUGUAAAUAAAAAACUUUAUGGUUCAUGUAAAAUAAAAAUGUACUACUGUGCUUCAUCAAUGCUACUUUCCUAGCCAACCCUACCACCACCUACCUUGCCUUAUCCUUUUGAAUUUGUCCUGUUUUGGUUUCUUGUGUUUGUGUAGUUUUUCUGUUUCCUUCUAAGCAACAAGGUAGUGAAGUGUUUUUAAGUACAUAUAUAGUGUUGUGUUAGUAUUUUCUUUUCUCUCGUUUUAGCUACGAAUUUUUUAAGUUUUUAGGAGCAACUCUUUAUCUAAUCCAAGCGCCGGAAGUCACAUAUAACAUUUUUAAUAAGUUUGUCUUGAUAGCGCAACAUAGAUUGCUUGCAGUGCAAACUAGGGUUUUUCUAUGAAUUUAGGGUUGAGAAAAUAAGUUUAAAAAAAAAAAUUCAUUGGAAUGAUGUAUUUGAUACCUUAUCUUUAGAAAUUGACUUUUUUAC